rnacentral:misc_RNA from 1 species
GUUUUUGGCCUCUCCUCCUUGCUCUGGUGUGUGGGGGAGAGUGCUUCACUUUUUUUGGUUCCAAUCUUUUUCUGUCUCGACUAAAGGAGGAGAGUAUGUCUUGGUGUUCCUCUCUUGGUUCAAACUUUGCUUUUUGGCCGACUAGAAGUGUCGUUUGGAGUUUGUCUUUUUGGGAAUCUUAUUCCUAUUUAUUACUAUUUUUAGGCCUAGUGACCCUUUGAGGUGUUCCGACUUUCGGUGUUGUGCUUUGUUUUGGAUGACUCUUUAGCUAUUCUGUUGUUCAGUACUCUGUGUUGGGUUUUGUUUUUAAGCUUGCUGGUGUUUUGACCUUUUGUUUGGUAUUGUUCUAUGGCUGUUUGGGUUUGGACAUCCAUCGUAACACAACCUUGUGAGCUUUUGGAUAAAGAUCCAUCCACUGUUUCGUCUUCUCUCAUCAGCAUUGCCUUUGGAAAAGGAAGUGCAACGUUGAGUCGUGUUGUGUUGGUGUUUCCUUGCUUACAUCACCUUUGGAGAGGAAGUGCAAUCGUGUGAGUUGCUUUGUAUGUUGGUGCCGUUGUGUAGGGUUUCUAAAUAUGGGAGGGAACUUUUAUGUUGAGGCUACUGUGAAUUCUGAUGGGUGCUUUGGAGCCUGAUGUGUUGUAG